GAGGGAUCAUGUAAGGCAUCACAACGAUACGAAAAGAAAAAGGAUGAAAAGAGAGGGAGAGCAACUUUAGAGAUGUGGCUUUAUUUUAGGAACUGGCCGCUCAUCCCACCUUGUUGUCCUACGCGACCGACAACGGCAGAGGGAAUGCUUGUUGUGGCGUAAACUAUUCCAUCGCCGCCGAUUUGGAAUCGGAGCCCACGGUGGAGGAAGGUUGCGUCCCGAAGCCUUGACGCGUGUAUGAAUGCUGCAUCCAUUAGUCGGACAAGCAGCCAGCUUGGAUCACCGAGAAGAGCGCGAAUGGGAAUGUUGCUCCAAGAUCUGAUGCCAUUCACUUUAAGUUGCUGGCCUUUUCUCCUCGGUCAUUGCCUUCUCUCGCUUCUUUUACUCUCUUGCCAGGGAGAACUUCAGAGGUCAUGCUCGCAGACCGUGGCAGAGAAAGUUAGCCAACAGUGCCAGCUGGCGUGCCAAUGUAGAAGAUACCCGCCCCUUCCCCCGCCGCCGCCUCCGCCACCUCCCCCGCGGCUACAGGGCGCUCCAGUGGCAGAACCUAUGGUGCCCUUAGUGAGACCCUGGUGGACGGACAUGGACUUUAUAGUGCUAGGAACAGUAGGCUGUGCCUCAGCCCUCUUCCUACUCUCAGCUAUCAUCAUCUGCUACAAGGCCAUCAAGAGGUUGGCUGUCACUUCUUCUUGACCAAUCUUGUCGUCAUGCUUUUGUUAGAAUCAUGUAGGGUGCAGACCUUUGGUAUGGUUGAGCUGGCCAAAAAAUCGGAAGGGAAAAAAGAAACCUCUGCGUAAAGAAGAAAAUGGGACAAGUCGUGGGGAAUACGCCAUGAGCAUCCGCGCCAAGAAGACCAUGGGUACAAACAACACUGUGGUAUAGACUUUUAAAGACUCCAGCUCGGGGCAGAAAAUGACAGCAGUCAUAAUUUUCCACCUCUCCCCCUUCCUUCCGUCAAUGAGCAACCUCUUCUCACCCAGAAUGCAACAAAGGCUGUCAAACUGCUGAAGACAAGAUGGACGCAAACGCUACAAAGGCAAGGAAGGCGGGCGCCCGUCCUGCUUUGUGGCGUUGAAAAGCGUCCCAGCAGGCUGAACAAGUCUUGCUGACAGGCUGCGACCGUGGGCCAGUCGGUCUGCCACCUCAUCCAGACCUCACGCUCUCAUCACAUGAGCCAUAGAAGCGCAGACAAUAGAGCGGUUGGGUCAGCCCAUCACACAAUAAAUAACGUGCAUGCACUUUUUUUCAGAGAAUGCAACUUUUUCUUUAUUAUUGCCUCCAUUUUUCUUUCUGCAUUUUGGAGACUUCCAGGGGCACGAUGUGACUGUCACUCCUGGCUCUGGGGCGUGUGCUCAUAUGACUAUGCAAUUUAAAGAAAUUCGUAUUUUGAACAAAACAAAAAAAAAGACAAAAAGAGGAGAUGACUUCAUCAAGGUCUCAUUGUAUCAUACUUCAGUCAUUCGUCUAUUUAUUUUCUCUAUUUAUUUUUGUACUUGAACAAAAAAGAUAUUGUACAGUCCUCAAGUUUCAUUUCUUCAUGUUUUUCUUAAAGUGAAUUAUUUAUAAGCGAUGUAAUUACGCUGUGGGUUUAGUCGAGACACUGAUGCAGAAAAGGCGCUUGGCAUCGAGUUGUUUGUCUGCGUGUGUGUUUGAUAUGCUUUUAUGUUUUGUUAAAUGUCAGGGGUCUCUAUGGCGUGCUGAGGUGAAUGGGACUUACUUCCGUGCUGCGUCACACGCUCUGAAGUCAACUCAGUCCAAGUCCUCCCUUACCAGCACAGUGGAAGCUCUAAAGUUGAACAGUUUGUACUAGGAUGCGGGUUGACCUCUGAUUUGUUUAAACUGUUUUCCCGAUAAGAAAUGAUGGAAUUGUUCAGUUCCAGGGUCAAACUGAUGCCAUCAUAAACAUGUGUUAACUACAUGGGCCAGGUGUGUCCAAAGUGUCGACCAGGAGCUAACUGAUGUUGUUUCGUGCGGUCAGGGUAGGUCAAUUAAGCAGAGCCUCACUUGUUUUGAUGAAAAUAACAACAAUAAUAAUAAUAAUAAUAAUAAUAAUAAUACAUCAAAUAAAUAGUAAUAUAUUUUGUGUUAUACAUGUAUUUUCUGUAUGAUUGCAUUUUUUAAAAGUAAAAAUCUAAACAUGUGCACUAGAGAUGCGCGGAUAGGCAAUUAUUUCAUCCGCAACCGCAUCAGAAAAUCGUCAACCAUCCGCCAUCCACCCGAUGUAACAUUUGAUCAGAACCGCACCAGCCCGCAUCCGCCCGUUGUUAUAUAUCUAAUAUAGACGAUGCAAGGCAUUAGUGAGGUUAUAAAGCUUUUGCCUGUUAAAGAAAGGAGACUGAUCCAAUGCAGCACAGACAUUCGCGUGCCACGCUGU